AACCUCCCCCUCUUGGUCGCCUUCGGCUCCGGCGGGCUGUCCGGUGGGCGAAGGGCCGGAGGAGGAGGAAGAUGACGGCCGAGCUGCAGCAGCAGGGCCAGGACGAGCGGGCCGCGGCCGGCGGGGCAGCGCAGGCUUGCAGUUUGCUCCUAAGCCAGCUGAAAGAGAUCACGGGCAUCCACAAUCCGCAGUCCCUCCAGGCGGCACUGAAGGCUGCCCAUGGAAACCUAAUGCAGGCGGUGGGCCUCCUCACCGAAGUCAGCAGCGACCGAGAGUCCGAGGGAGACCCCCCUCCUGCUUCCGACUCCGAGGGAAGAGAAAGACCGGCCACCCGUAAGCCCUGGCUUUCUCCUUCGUGGACUUUUCUCCUCCAUCCCUCCAG
rnacentral:lncRNA from 1 species